AUUACCGAAGGUAUUUACGUCAUAGAAGAAAUAAAUUUGCUCGACUCUUAUAUUAAUACAAUAAUUUAUAAACUUUUAGGUAAUAGAAAAAAAAGCACCAUAUUUUCAAUAUCGUCCAAUUAUGUAUUGCAAGUGGAAAGUGAGCCUUCUUUCAAAUCGCAAAGCCAACAAAUAAGCCAAUCGAUGUUUUUGACAAGAAACCAGAUUUUGACGGAUGAUCCAGAAGAUAAUAAAUCAGAACGAUUGGAAAGUAUGACUACUUCAAAUAUAGAACAGAAAAAAGAAACGUCAGAAGAAACACUAGAAGAAACGUUGGAAGAAACGCUGGAAAAUAACUACUAUCCACAAGCAAAGAAUGAGAGAAAAUCAAAAACUGAGCCAAAUAAUGUCCAAUAAAUGCAGUCAGCGACGAAUUUAAUUUAUAAAUGACUCUUGCGAUAAUUGCGAACCAGGUGGUACUCGUGGUGAACUUAGUAAACGUCGUGAUCCUACUGGAAAUCACAAAUCUUAUUGUGAUGCUUGCCGGCGAGAAGUGAUGCAAAAAUUUGCAGUAAUUGAGCGAAAGCUGAAUUUUAUUGCACAAUUUCUAGAAAAUCCCGGCCGAGCAGAAGCAAAUCCACCUAUACAAAAUGAUG